UAAAGCACUGGAGAUGACAUUCCUCCAUAACCGCCCCUCAAGGCUGAUGAUGUCUACGUAACC
rfam:Yersinia ruckeri strain 37551 YRO1b0000020, whole genome shotgun sequence.